UUGCUGACGAGUGGCGGACGGGUGAGUAAUGCUUGGGAAUCUAGCUUAUGGAGGGGGAUAACUACGGGAAACUGUAGCUAAUACCGCGUAAUAUCGAAAGAUUAAAGUGUGGGACCUUCGGGCCACAUGCCAUAGGAUGAGCCCAAGUGGGAUUAGGUAGUUGGUGAGGUAAAGGCCUACCAAGCCGACGAUCUCUAGCUGGUCUGAGAGGAUGACCAGCCACACUGGAACUGAGACACGGUCCAGACUCC
rnacentral:rRNA from 1 species